rnacentral:lncRNA from 1 species
UGUUGAGCAUGAAGAAUCAGUGAAUAAAGUAGUCAUAGAGAGACCAAAGACUAUAAGUCUUGCUAAAACGAUCAGCGAGAAGAAAAGUAUGGAACCAGUGACAAGCAAAAAAAUUGGUAAGUAUAUAGCAAGGGGCAAAGGCAGAAAAGUAAUUACUCAACAAAGUCAGCAAGUAGUGAUAAGAAAAAAAAAGAAAAAAUACUUGAGAAACCUAGGGAUCAAAGAAUUUCUAAGAAAUCUUUUGAGGAUGAAGACUACACCCCAUAUAGUGAUAGUG